CAGAAGUGUUAAAAUCAAUUAUAAUAUGACGUGCUUCUUUCACAUUGUAAACAACACCGUGAUAAAAUUCUCGAUAUAGCUAUACUUGGCGCAGACUCAGAGAUAUACAUAUUAUUAAUGGAUGUUACAAUAUACAUCCCACGAUAAUCCACAUUAAUUUUACAUUCAAAUGUAUUUUGAGGUAGGUGUUGUUUUAGUUUUUAUUCUAUUGCAUUAUUCGCAUAAUUACUGAUUUCAACAAGUAAACAUGGCGACCCUUUAGUUACGAAUUGUCAACUUUAGAUUUGACGGUGGCUCACGAGAAAAACAUGCAAAUAAAAAAUGAAAGGUGUUGGGUUUGUUGAGAAUUAACCGAAUUAAGCACAUUUUUUUCUAGCGGUUAUUUACGAAAUUACCCAUGCAAGCUACAGAUUUAUUACAAUGUAUUAGCUUGAUCUAACUGGGGGUAAAAAGAGCAGCCGCACAAACGGCAUACCCAUCCUCGCUUCAGUUUUUAAAUGACCGUAUUUGUUCUAUUGGAAUCGGAAUAAUUCAUGGAAGUCAUAGAUUUGCUGUAAAUUUACACAUGGCAUUGGCCGUGAUAUCCGUUAAAUUUAUCUCUCGCCAACUCUCAGAAUAAUUUCAAAUAUCACAACCCAGGCUAUGUGUAAAUUUCCAACACCAUAUAGCUUCCAUGAAUUAUUUCUUAACUAAUUUUAAUCUGUUAAUUGAUGAAAAACGAAUUAUUUAAUUCCGU
rnacentral:lncRNA from 1 species